CACCGCAGUGCUUGGUAGAGCACCAGCCUCGGGCGCUGGCGGUCGCAGGUUCGAAUCCUGCCGCGCUGA
rnacentral:tRNA from 1 species